rnacentral:rRNA from 1 species
CCUACGGGGAGCAGCAGUCGAGAAUCAUUCACAAUGGGGGAAACCCUGAUGGUGCGACGCCGCGUGGGGGAAUGAAGGUCUUCGGAUUGUAAACCCCUGUCAUGUGGGAGCAAAUUAAAAAGAUAGUACCACAAGAGGAAGAGACGGCUAACCCUGUGCCAGCAGCCGCGGUCAUACAGAGGUCUCAAGCGUUGUUCGGAAUCACGGGGCGUAAAGCGUGCGUAGGCUGUUUCGUAAGUCGUGUGUGAAAGGCGCGGGCUCAACCCGCGGACGGCACAUGAUACUGCGAGACUAGAGUAAUGGAGGGGGAACCGGAAUUCUAGGUGUAGCAGUGAAAUGCGUAGAUAUCGAGAGGAACACUCGUGGCGAAGGCGGGUUCCUGGACAUUAACUGACGCUGAGGCACGAAGGCCAGGGGAGCGAAAGGGAUUAGAUACCCGAGUAGUC